GUACCCCUGCAGUGUGCGUUAAGGUUUAAAUAUUUUUGAACCAAUAUAUACAUUAAUGGAUUGCUGACUCAAAGAGCACUGUUGUGUGAAUCCUAAUUGGAAGCACCUGAAGAGCUCGGAAAGCGAACCACCUUGAACUUUUGGUUCAAGAUACUGACCUGACGGCAUAUGCGGGGGUAUC
rnacentral:other from 1 species